GGCUCGCUACCGUGCCUGCAAGCACAGGCAGAAAAAUGUGAGCGGUUCUAAUUCAUGGGCACAGUCUCCGUAUAACCACCACCCAGUGAGCAGUGGCUCGCCCCACCACAGAAAAACCCUGCAACUGUCCCUGUGUGCCGCCACCAGCAUUUCUUCAGCAACACGGGUGAGAGGCAAGCGUUCAGACCAUGGAAGGCAGCCCCUUAGGAGAAUCACCAUGGAGAGCUUCCGUGCUGGGGUGAGCUCGCUGACGGUGCGGGACUGCUGUUUCUCAGUGUCUGCGGUGCCAGGGGACGGUGGCAGAGGCAUAAAUAUGCAGUAACAAGCUCUGUGAGCGCACGGGGAUCUCAAGAGAACUUGAGAGAUGCUACAGGGACUGAAGAUCCCCCUGUGGCAGCACCCAGCACCUCGGUCUGGUUAACUGCUCUAGCUGAAGCCUGACCCGUUUGCCUCAGACAUUGGUUCCCACACCAGGACUGCUGUGCCUAUGGCACACAGCGGCUAUAGGAACGUCUCCAUCCCAUUGCUCGUGUGUCCCACCAGCCUAAAACACCCUUUACCCUCGCGUCCCAUGUGAGCGUCAUCUGUUCUUUAAAUGAUCGGUUUCCCGUUUUCUUUACUAAGCAUGCCUGUGGGAGCAAUUGUUUUCUUCCCAUCUUCCUCUCCCCUUCUGACUGCCCACGGUACUUUCUGACUUAGACGGAGUGAGCGUCAUAGCUGGGUGGGGAGGAAGAGAUAUGUCAGACCUUUUAACAUGUCUGCUCCAUGGCAAGUGCCCUUCUACAUGCAGAUUGGAGGACUCAGGCCCACAGGAAGAUGUAAAGAUGCUGAGAAACACACCAGGGUUGUUUCUGCCAUAACUCCCAAGGCAGAUUUUAACCUUGGCUUGUUUCUUUGUGUGUGAGACAGGGUUUCAAAAAGAUAGGGUUUGUUCAGUCCUGCUUGUCCCAGAAUUCACUCUUUGGACCAGGCUGGCCUCA